rnacentral:snoRNA from 1 species
UAAUCAGCAGUUGAUAAGGCAGGAUUUCUGGAAAACCAGCAGGAGGCUGACCCUCAAGGCCAGGAGUUUGAUACCCCUGCCAUAGAU